rnacentral:lncRNA from 1 species
GAGGGGGGAGCUAUUCUAGAGCCAACGGCAAUUUCUCGAAAAAAUCGAAAAUUUGGCAACAAAGAUGGCGUCGGAACGGGCUCAGGACAUCAAAAAAUUCUGCAAAAAAUUGAGCGUUAUUUUUACGUCAAAACGCAACUUUUUAGCACCAGCCAUCUUAAUUGGAAUCUCGGAAAAAGCUCAAAAACGGUCCACCCUACCCCGCCUCCCAUCACGAACUUGAUUAAAACUACUUUAACUAUGUGCAUAUGCUAUGUGACUGUAUUAAUUGCUUUUAUAAAAUGGUCGGGUAAAUAUAUUUUUGAAGUCAGUAGCUGGGAAUAGUGUCUCAUGCAGAUCAUGAUUAAAGCUCCGAUCUCAGUGGUUGUGUUGCUGUUUCUAAUGCGACGAAUUUUCACGAUGGAGACUGAAGAGAUAACGAUCCAAGCAAGGAAGGAAUUCUGGCACUGCGUCAACAACGACCCUUGCAGAGAACUCGUGAGAUGGAUGUCUCGUGAUAGUCCGUCGGUGGUAAGAGCCAACGCUAAGUGUCAAGAAGCCCUCGAUAAUUUCAAAAAGCUGCCAAAAGACGAGCAAAAACGCUGCGAAAACCCGGAACACGCUAAGUGCCUGAUCCCGGCGUCGAGCAAAUUAGGACUCACUCUCCGGUGUUUUUUCAUGUGUGAUCGGCGCGUCGAUGGACCAAUAUACAGGUAUCCAGUUGUGAAGAAGUUUUCUCUAAGACUCGGAGAAAUUGCUGUGCCAGUGGACCCUGCAACGACGGCGACGGCGAAACAACGGUCCCGAAAGGGAAAGAGAUGCCCCAGCUUCAUGAGGAGACUCUCUAGGAAACAUAGCUCCAAGUCCGCGCCACCGGCAGGUUGAUACUUUCAAUUCCUCUAAAGUUGAUUUAAUGGACCAUUAGACAAGGUACGAAUUAAAGGAUUCUGAUGCAUGUUUCUUAACCAGAAUUCUACGUAGAACACGACUCGUGCAACGAAAAUCACUGAAACCAACUCCUAACGAAGAUAUUAACGUUUUUAUUUCACAUUGGUUACGAGGAAUUUGAACUGCCCGCUCACAAGAAACUCAAAGCUCUACGUGAGUCAAAUCGCGCACUACAACGGUUUCGACAAUCUUCUCUAUCGAGCAAUGUUUAUUUCCCACCAUGUGUCGUUCAAACUAUAAGCAAUUUGCUAUAGCUGAGCCAAAGAGUCAAGUUUGAGGUUGCCAGAUUUUUAUAUCGCAGAGACUGUCAUGAUAAACGUUUAGCGCGCGAUGUGAAGCACGUAGAGCAUUGAGUUUUCAUGAGCGGGUGGUUUGAAUUCACGCAUCAAGAAUCAUUAAAUAUCUUUGUAAGGCGUUGAUUUCGGUAAUUUUCGAUGUGCGUAUCGUGUUCUACGUGAAAUUUUGGUUGAGAAACAUGUAUCAGAAUGCUGAAAUUCGUACCUUGUCUAGUAGUCCAUUGUCCACAAGUUUAGGUUAGGGGCCCUCCAUAAAUUACUUCGCCCAUUUUUCAACUUUUUGACCCACCCCCCUCCCCUCCCCUCAAACCAUCAGCCACUACGAGACCCCUCCCUAAAAAUUAUGUCAUCCGUAGCUCCCCCCCCUUGGGGGAAAAAGCGGAAAAUCGAUAAAAAUCAGUAGAUGUAGUCUGCAGCGUUAAGUACGCGAUUAAUUUCUUUUAGCAGGUACUAAAUAAAUGUUUUAUUUUAAAUAUAUGUUAUUUUAAAAAGGGAAAAAUUUGAGGCCACGCUAUAUUCCUAGCUGAAAAAUUAAGCAACGUAUUUGCUCUGAGAGAAAUUGGAAU